rnacentral:rRNA from 1 species
CCUACGGGUGGCAGCAGUGGGGAAUAUUGCACAAUGGGGGAAACCCUGAUGCAGCGACGUCGCGUGAGUGAAGAAGUAAUUCGUUAUGUAAAGCUCUAUCAGUAAGGAAGAAAAUGACGGUACCUGAGUCAGUAGCUCCGGCUAACUACGUGCCAGCAGCCGCGGUAAUACGUAGGGGGCAAGCGUUAUCCGGAUUUACUGGGUGUAAAGGGAGCGUAGACGGCAGUGCAAGUCUGGAGUGAAAGGUGGGGGCUCAACCCCCGGACUGCUCUGGAAACUGUACGGCUGGAGUGCAGGAGAGGUAAGUGGAAUUCGUAGUGUAGCGGUGAAAUGCUUAGAUAUUAGGAAGAACACCAGUUGCGAAGGCAGCUUACUGAACUGUCACUGACGUUGAGGCUCGAAAGUGUGGGGAGCAAACAGGAUUAGAUACCCGAGUAGUC